GGUCAAACACUGGUUCCCGUACAAACACCGAAUUUAAGCAACAUCGAGCCUGGUGAGUACGUAAAUGGGUGACUGCUUGGAAAUACCAGGUAUUGCAAG